AUCCUGGACUACUCUGGGGUCAUAACCAACACUGACAGUACAAAAUGGACCCUCAUACAUGAAAUGGAUCUGGACAUCUCCUCUGCUGAAGUGACAGUCUCUGCUCUGUACUACUAGGUAGCAAUUCUGAAGAUGACAAUUCCACUAGGCCUAUGGUGGGUGGUGUGGAUGUUGAUACCAUCACAUCAUCCUGCAGCUACACUGGCUCUGUAAACAAUCUACAUUGGUAUCAUUAGUAUCCCAGGUCUAAACCAGAGUUCCUGAAUCUCGCCUUCCAGCUCAGGUUCAUACAGACCGCGUGGAUCUGGAGAUCUCCUCUACUGAAGUGACAGAUUAUGUUCUGUAAACCUGUGCCAUGGAGCACACAGUGACAGGAAACACUUCCUCAUACAAAAAGCUGACAGUCUGACACAAAUAUGCAGAUGGUAUAUAUAGUAUAGCAUGGUGGAUCUAUUGAAAACACAAACCAAGACUACAGCAAAAACUAGACCAAAAGGAACUGAAAACCCUUAAACACAAACCACAGAAGAAGAGUUACAUAUCCAAAUAUCAGAGGAGGGGCCUCAUAGUUAAACACUGGUAUAGGCUGGAUAUACCUGCAACCAUGAGGAUGUCUCUGUAGAGGAUCUACUCAGCUCUCUCUCUGUCUUAUCUCUCAGUUGGUUUAUCUAGUCUGUGUCAGGAUGUCACUCAUAUUACUGUUGCUCCUCUCAGCGUUUGUAGGUGAUAGUAUGGAGCAGGAAACAAUAACUCCAGUGAAGCCUGAAGUCAAUGCUCUCCAAGGAACAGACAUCACUCUCUCCUGCAACUACAAGGGCAACAUUAUCAAUCUACAAUGGUACCGUCAAUACCCCGGAUCCAGACCAGAAUGUCUUCUUUGGAUCCUACAAACCAACAAGUAUGUACAGAAUACAUCCAUUACGACUCCACGACACACUGGUAGACUGAAUGAAGAGAAGACCCGUGUUGACUUGAUGAUCUCCUCUGUUGAAUUGGAAGACUCUGCUCUGUACCACUGCGCCUUGCAGCCCACAGUGACAGGAAACCCAGACUCACUGUACAAAAACCUGUCAAGAUACUUGGUGGUGAACAGUGCAUUGUAUUCUGAUCAAUCAGUUAUUAUUUAGAGUACAUUACACAUUAUAUAUAUAAUACAUAUAUUUUUCUUGCAUCUCCACAAUAAAA